AAAGAUUAAGCCAUGCAAGUGUCAGUUCAUGCCAAACUAAGGUGAAACCGCGAAAGGCUCAUUAAAUCAGUUAUAGUUUACUUGAUGGCAUGACGUUACCGUUACUUGGAUAACUGUGGCAAUUCUAGAGCUAAUACAUGCAACUCGAUUCCCGACCGUUCGCGCGGAAGGGAUGCUUUUAUUAGAUCAAAAACCAAUCGGGAAAUCGGGUCCUCGGUCAGCGGCCGUUUUUGCGGUUUAGCGCGGGGGUUAAAAAGCUCGACGUACCGUGCAGUUCUUGGUGACUCUGGAUAAAUUGUCGCUGAUCGCAAGGUCUCAGCACCUGCGACGCAUCUUUCAAAUGUCUGACUUAUCAACUAUCGACGGUAUGCCACGUGCCUACCGUGGUGGUAACGGGUAACGGGGAAUCAGGGUUCGAUUCCGGAGAGGGAGCCUGAGAAACAGCUACCACAUCCAAGGAAGGCAGCAGGCGCGCAAAUUACCCACUCCCGGCACGGGGAGGUAGUGACGAAAAAUAACGAUGCAGAACUCUUUUCCGAGGCUCUGCAAUCGGAAUGAGAAGACUCUAAAUCAUUUACCGAGUAUCCAUUGGAGGGCAAGUCUGGUGCCAGCAGCCGCGGUAAUUCCAGCUCCAAUAGCGUAUAUUAAAGUUGUUGCGGUUAAAAAGCUCGUAGUUGGACCUGUGUUUUCGCGCUGUCGGUUCACCGCCCGUCGGUGCAUAACUGGCAGUAAAUUUAAAUCGCGAAACGUCCUGCCGGUUGGCGAACCCCUUCCGGGCUCCGGCCAAAAGCGGAAGCGGAUCCUCCGACUUCGUCUUCGGCUGCCUACGGGAGUGUCGAGUCGUUUCGCUUCGUUUCCGUUCGCGGAGCCAUCUCUUCCCGGGCUCAAGUCGUCGCAGUAUGCGAUUCCGGAACGCGGGGGAUUCCACGGGAACUCGGAUCAAACGUCCGUUUGCUUCAUUUUUUUCCGUCCCUUAACCGGGUCACGGGAAAAUGACUUUCGGGCGUCCGCAGUUCUCCCCCCGGAUCACGGUCCGCGGAUUAGCGCUGCGUGCGGCUCCGGGAGAGACCGCGACGGCGGACGAACGAUCUCGCCUCUCGAUCACGGGUUGUUUCCGUAAGCGAGUCGCGGUCCCUUUCGUUCGGAGUUAAAAAAAGGUCGCGUUCGCUUCGCGGCGUUCCGGCCUUCGGAGGGAGCCAAAAUCCCGGCGCGGGGUGCGUAUCCGCGGCCCCGUACGAUUUCGCGGAGUAUCCGGUUUUGGCCGGUGCUCCCGUAAAUCGUCGGUGUUUGUUCGCGGUGCGUUUUUUCCUUGCGUUCGGGGACCCUGUCGCGAUGCUCUUUGCCGAGUGUCGAGGCGGGCCGGCACGUUUACUUUGAACAAAUUUGAGUGCUCAAAGCAGGCACGAUAAAUGGCUUGAAAAUAAUGCGCAUGGAAUAAUGGAAUAGGACCGCGGUUCUAUUUUGUUGGUUUACGGAAUUUUCUGCGGUAAUGAUUAAUAGGGACAGACGGGGGCAUUCGGUAUUGCGACGUUAGAGGUGAAAUUCUUGGAUCGUCGCAGGACUAACAAAAGCGAAAGCAUUUGCCAAGAAACGCUUUCAUUGAUCAAGAACGAAAGUUAGAGGUUCGAAGGCGAUCAGAUACCGCCCUAGUUCUGACCGUAAACGAUGCCAGCCGGCGAUCCGUCGUUGUUCCUUGGAUGACUCGACGGGCAGCCUCCGGGAAACCAAAGCGUUUGGGUUCCGGGGGUAGUAUGGUUGCAAAGCUGAAACUUAAAGGAAUUGACGGAAGGGCACCACCAGGAGUGGAGCUUGCGGCUUAAUUUGACUCAACACGGGAAAACUCACCAGGCCCGGACACUGAGAGGAUUGACGGAUUGACAGCUCUUUCUUGAUUCAGUGGGUGGUGGUGCAUGGCCGUUCUUAGUUGGUGGAGCGAUUUGUCUGGUUAAUUCCGAUAACGAACGAGACUCUAGCCUGCUAAAUAGGCGUAAAAAUUUGAUGCGUCGAUUCCGGGCGUGCGGGACAAGGAGCGGGUAGCUCGUCCCUCCGUUCGUUUGCGUCGCGGGGUUCAAAGCUCCGCGGGUUCAAGCCGGCGCGGACACCGGGCUCGUUUCGCGCGGGUACCGGGCCGCGUCGGUCCGCGGAGUCUCGUCGGCGUGACGGCGGGGAAGGCGAGUCCGAGGCCGCCGUCGUCUCCGGGCGACGUUAUCAAAGUCCGGUAUCUAGCCUACCGGCGAUUGUAAAAUGACUCUUCUUAGAGGGACAAGCGGCAUCUAGCCGCGCGAGAUUGAGCAAUAACAGGUCUGUGAUGCCCUUAGAUGUUCUGGGCCGCACGCGUGCUACACUGAAGGAAUCAACGUGUUGUAAAAUCCUUGGCCGAAAGGUCCGGGCAACCCGUUGAACCUCCUUCGUGCUAGGGAUUGGGGAUUGCAAUUGUUUCCCAUGAACGAGGAAUUCCCAGUAAGCGCGAGUCAUAAGCUCGCGUUGAUUACGUCCCUGCCCUUUGUACACACCGCCCGUCGCUACUACCGAUUGAACGAUUUAGUGAGGUCUUCGGACUUGUACGCGGGCGUUCUCGAGUGCUCGCUUUCGGGCGUGUCUCUCGUCGAAUUGCCCGCAGUUGCGAGGAAGACGAUCGAACUUGAUCGUUUAGAGGAAGUA
rnacentral:rRNA from 1 species